rnacentral:rRNA from 1 species
UACGUAGGGAGCAAGCGUUGUCCGGAAUCAUUGGGCGUAAAGCGCGCGUAGGUGGCCCUGUAAGUCCGUUGUGAAAGUCAAAGGCUCAACCUUUGAAAGCCGAUGGAUACUGCAGGGCUGGAGUCCGGAAGAGGCGAGUGGAAUUCCUGGUGUAGCGGUGGAAUGCGCAGAUAUCAGGAGGAACACCAAUAGCGAAGGCAGCUCGCUGGGACGGUACUGACACUGAGGCGCGAAAGCGUGGGGAGCGAACAGG